rnacentral:rRNA from 1 species
CCUGGUAGCGGGGGAGUAACUAUUGGAAACGAAUAGCUAAUACCGCAUGAAAUGGAUUAUCGCAUGAUAAUCGAUUGAAAGGUGCAAAUGCAUCACUACCAGAUGGACCUGCGUUGUAUUAGCUAGUUGGUGAGGUAACGGCUCACCAAGGCAACGAUACAUAGCCGACCUGAGAGGGUGAUCGGCCACACUGGGACUGAGACACGGCCCAG